rnacentral:rRNA from 1 species
GUCCACGCCAUAACGAUGACAACUAGACGUUGGGACAUAUGGUCCACAGUGUCGCAGCUAACGCGUUAAGUUGUCCGCCUGGGGAGUACGGCCGCAAGGUUGAAACUCAAAGGAAUUGACGGGACCCGGCACAAGCGGUGGAGCAUGUGGUUUAAUUCGAUGCAACGCGAAGAACCUUACCUGGUCUUGACAUGUCUGGAAUCCCGAAGAGAUUUGGGAGUGCCGCAAGGAACCAGAACACAGGUGCUGCAUGGCUGUCGU